rnacentral:rRNA from 1 species
GCAAGUCGAGGGGUAACAGGGAAAAGCUUGCUUUUCCGCUGACGACCGGCGCACGGGUGCGUAACACGUAUGCAACCUACCUCUUACUGAGGAAUAGCCCAGAGAAAUUUGGAUUAAUACCUCAUAGUAUCACCAGUUCGCAUGUUCAGGUGAUUAAAGGUUACGGUAAGAGAUGGGCAUGCGCCCCAUUAGCUAGUUGGUGAGGUAAUAGCUCACCAAGGCAACGAUGGGUAGGGGGCCUGAGAGGGUGGUC